rnacentral:rRNA from 1 species
CUUACAAGCUGUGGAAGCACAUUUCUUGUGUGACCGCGUACUUUUUGUAGAACGGGCCAACGAGUUACGUUAAGUAGCAAGGUUAAGCACUUAAGGUGCGGAGCCGUAGCGAAAGCGAGUUUUAACUGAGCGUUCAGUUACUUGACGUAGACCCGAAACCGGGCGACCUACCCAUGAGCAGGAUGAAGCGAAAGUAAAAUUUCGUGGAGGUCCGAACCCACGAGCGUUGAAAAGCUCGGGGAUGACUUGUGGGUAGCGGUGAAAUUCCAAUCGAGCCCGGAGAUAGCUGGUUCUCCCCGAAAUAGCUUUAGGGCUAGCCUCAAGGUGAGAGAUACGGAGGUAGAGCACUGAAUGUCCUAGGGGGUAUUGCACCUACCGAAGACUAUCAAACUCCGAAUGCCGUCAUCUUAUACUUGGGAGUCAGACUGUGGGUGAUAAGAUUCAUAGUCGAAAGGGCAACAGCCCAGAUCGUCAGCUAAGGUCCCUAAAUGUAAGUUAAGUGGUAAAGGAUGUGGGAUUGCACAGACAACCAGGAUGUUGGCUUAGAAGCAGCCACUCAUUCAAAGAGUGCGUAAUAGCUCACUGGUCGAGUGAUCCUGCGCCGAAGAUUUCCGGGGCUAAAACUUACUACCGAAGCUACGGCAUCAGUAAUGAUGGGUAGGGGAGCUUCCCAUACGGGUUGAAGCAUGACCGUAAGGACAUGUGGACAGUAUGGGAGUGAGAAUGUUGGCAUGAGUAGCGAGAUGUGGGUGAGAAUCCCACAGGCCGUAAACCCAAGGUUUCCAGGGGAAGGUUCGUCCGCCCUGGGUUAGUCGGGACCUAAGCUGAGGCCGAAAGGCGUAGGUGAUGGACAACAGG